UACGUAGGUGGCAAGCGUUGUCCGGAUUUAUUGGGCGUAAAGCGCGCGCAGGCGGUCUUUUAAGUCUGAUGUGAAAUCUUACAGCUUAACUGUAAGCGGUCAUUGGAAACUGGGAGACUUGAGUGCAGAAGAGGAGAGUGGAAUUCCAUGUGUAGCGGUGAAAUGCGUAGAGAUAUGGAGGAACACCAGUGGCGAAGGCGACUCUCUGGUCUGCAACUGACGCUGAGGCGCGAAAGCGUGGGGAUCAAACAGGAUUAGAUACCCUGGUAGUCCACGCCGUAAACGAUGAGUGCUAGGUGUUAGGGGUUUCGAUACCCUUAGUGCCGCAGUUAACACAUUAAGCACUCCGCCUGGGGAGUACGGCCGCAAGGCUGAA
rnacentral:rRNA from 1 species